rnacentral:tRNA from 1 species
CAGAGAAUAGUUUAAUUAAAAUAUUAGUUUUGGGGACUGAUUGUCGACUUACAAGACCGAUGUUUUGC